CCUACGGGAGGCAGCAGUGGGGAAUAUUGCGCAAUGGGGGAAACCCUGACGCAGCAACGCCGCGUGAGUGAGGAAGGACUUCGGUCUGUAAAGCUCUGUUAAUGAGGAAAAAUGGUAGUUGGUCUAAUAGGCCGAUUAUUUGAUGGUACUCAUAGAGGAAGCACCGGCUAACUUCGUGCCAGCAGCCGCGGUAAUACGAAGGGUGCAAGCGUUGUUCGGAUUUAUUGGGCGUAAAGCGCGCGUAGGCGGACCUGCAAGUAAGAUGUGAAAUCUCGAGGCUCAACCUCGAAACUGCGUCUUAAACUACAGGUCUAGAAUCUCGGAGGGGGAAGGGGAAUUUCGCAUGUAGGGGUAAAAUCCGUAGAUAUGCGAAGGAACACCAGAGGCGAAGGCGCCUUCCUGGACGAGUAUUGACGCUGAGGCGCGAAAGCGUGGGGAUCAAACAGGAUUAGAUACCCUGGUAGUCCACGCUGUAAACGAUGAACACUAGGUAUUGGAGGAUUUGACCCCUUCAGUGCCGUAGCUAACGCGUUAAGUGUUCCGCCUGGGAAGUACGGUCGCAAGACAAAACUCAAAUGAAUUGACGG
rnacentral:rRNA from 1 species